UCUACGGGUGGCAGCAGUGGGGAAUAUUGGACAAUGGGCGAAAGCCUGAUCCAGCCAUGCCGCGUGUGUGAAGAAGGCCUUCGGGUUGUAAAGCACUUUCAGUGGGGAAGAAAGCCUUGGGGCUAAUACCCUCGAGGAAGGACAUCACCCACAGAAGAAGCACCGGCUAACUCCGUGCCAGCAGCCGCGGUAAUACGGAGGGUGCGAGCGUUAAUCGGAAUUACUGGGCGUAAAGCGCGCGUAGGCGGUCUGAUAAGCCGGUUGUGAAAGCCCCGGGCUCAACCUGGGAACGGCAUCCGGAACUGUCAGGCUAGAGUGCAGGAGAGGAAGGUAGAAUUCCCGGUGUAGCGGUGAAAUGCGUAGAGAUCGGGAGGAAUAUCAGUGGCGAAGGCGGCCUUCUGGACUGACACUGACGCUGAGGUGCGAAAGCGUGGGUAGCAAACAGGAUUAGAUACCCGAGUAGUC
rnacentral:rRNA from 1 species